UAUACUGCAAGUCGAGCGGACAGAUGGGAGCUUGCUCCCUGAAGUCAGCGGCGGACGGGUGAGUAACACGUGGGCAACCUGCCUGUAAGACUGGGAUAACUUCGGGAAACCGGAGCUAAUACCGGAUAAUGCUUUUGGACUCAUGUCCUUAAGCUGAAAGAUGGUUUCGGCUAUCACUUACAGAUGGGCCCGCGGCGCAUUAGCUAGUUGGUGAGGUAACGGCUCACCAAGGCAACGAUGCGUAGCCGACCUGAGAGGGUGAUCGGCCACACUGGGACUGAGACACGGCCCAGACUCCUACGGGAGGCAGCAGUAGGGAAUCUUCCGCAAUGGACGAAAGUCUGACGGAGCAACGCCGCGUGAGUGAUGAAGGUUUUCGGAUCGUAAAACUCUGUUGUUAGGGAAGAACAAGUAUCGGAGUAACUGCCGGUACCUUGACGGUACCUAACCAGAAAGCCACGGCUAACUACGUGCCAGCAGCCGCGGUAAUACGUAGGUGGCAAGCGUUGUCCGGAAUUAUUGGGCGUAAAGCGCGCGCAGGCGGUCCUUUAAGUCUGAUGUGAAAGCCCACGGCUCAACCGUGGAGGGUCAUUGGAAA
rnacentral:rRNA from 1 species